rnacentral:rRNA from 1 species
UACGGAGGGUGCGAGCGUUGUCCGGAAUCACUGGGCGUAAAGGGCGCGUAGGCGGUUCGUUAAGUUGCUGGUGAAAUCCCGGGGCUCAACUCCGGGGCUGCCAGUAAGACUGGCGGGCUAGAGCACGGUAGAGGCAGAUGGAAUUCCCGGUGUAGCGGUGGAAUGCGUAGAUAUCGGGAAGAACACCAGUGGCGAAGGCGACUACCUGGCCUGUUCUUGACGCUGAGGCGCGAAAGCUAGGGGAGCAAACGGG